rnacentral:rRNA from 1 species
UUACGGGAGGCAGCAGUAGGGAAUUUUCGGCAAUGGGCGCAAGCCUGACCGAGCAACGCCGCGUGAGUGAUUAAGGCCUUCGGGUUGUAAAGCUCUGUUGUAAGGGAAGAACAUUCAGGAUAGGAAAUGAUCUUGAACUGACGGUACCUUACCAGAAAGCCACGGCUAACUACGUCCCAGCAGCCGCGGUAAUACGUAGGUGGCUAGCGUUAUCCGGAAUUAUUGGGCGUAAAGGGUGCGUAGGCGGUUUAUUAAGUCUAUGGUGAAAGUGCGGGGCUCAACCCCGUAUGGCCAUAGAAACUGGUAGACUUGAGUGCAGGAGAGGGCAAUGGAAUUCCAUGUGUAGCGGUAAAAUGCGUAGAUAUAUGGAGGAACACCAGUGGCGAAGGCGGUUGCCUGGCCUGUAACUGACGCUGAAGCACGAAAGCGUGGGGAGCAAAUAGGAUUAGAUACCCUAUGUAGUCCAGCGCCGUAAAGCGAUGAAUACUAAGUGUUGGAGAAAUUCAGUGCUGCAGUAAACGCAAUAAGUAUUCCGCCUGGGAGUNCACU